AUGGCGCCCGAAGCCAUGCCCCGUUGCCCCUCCGGCCGACGAGUCCAGGCCGCCCUAUGCGCGCGAUCACAUCGGCCUCCCCGUCCUCAGCUCCUCCUCCACCCCGCCUUGGCGCACGAGCCCGCUUCCCGCCUCCUUCUCCCUCUGCAACGCGCCCUCCUCCUCGAAGCUGGCCCCGCCGCCACCGCCCGGGCGAGCGCCGCCCCUGAGCUCCUCGCCAUGGCCUCUCUUGCGCCUCCUCUGAUCCUCCCUCCGUUUUCCUGCACUGUUGAAUCGCCGGAGCAGCCCUGCAUCCCACAGCCCAGCCGCCUCCUCAUCCAGCGCCACAUCGAGCUCGUCGGCCUCGGCCUCCUCUGCAUCGCGCCUCCCGACGCCACCCCACCUCCAUCGCCCUUGCUGCUGCUGCUAGACCACCAUGGCCACCUUCCCAUGUUUCUUCUUCGGCCAUCAGUGCAUCGAACACCCCCACCGGUGCCUCUAUGA
rnacentral:rRNA from 1 species